GUGAGAUAUUUUGCCGGAAAAUAAACACGACCUACGAGGAAGUUGUCCAUUGGCGACGAAACAUUUUUCAAGUACCUUCAGGAAACGCUGGAAAAUCAUUCGUCUCCAAGCUUGCCCGUUUAUAUCAAGCUUACGCGGACAGUUCAAGUCUAGAAUGCAUCGCUAUGAAAGCAACCACUGUAUUUCCGAUCCUGGUACUUCAAAAACCAAGCCGAGCAAGCAAAAGUAAAGAUCAUGUGAAACAUCUGCAAAGACGAAUAAAAUUAUGGCUUGACGGCGACAUAGAAGCACUCCUUGACGAAGGUGAAUGUAUUCAAAAGCGACUCAGCAAAUCGACCACUCCUCAAAGCAAUGAUGUCAUCGCCCGAACGUUUAGAAGCCUCAUGUUACAGGGGAAAGUCCAGAGUGCACUGAGAUAUAUCUCAAGAAAUAGCAAUGGCGGAGUUCUCAAAUUAGAUGACCUCAUUCCCGUAACGACAAAAGAGGGCGAGUCAAUCCAACAAACGACAAGAGAAAUCCUGAAAAAGAAGCACCCUAUAGGCAAAGAUUCAGUUGCUUCCUCUCUUAUUGACGGCGAACC